rnacentral:rRNA from 1 species
UACGUAGGGUGCUAGCGUUGUUCGGAAUCAUUGGGCGUAAAGCGCGUGUAGGCGGUUUGUUAAGUCGGAUGUGAAAUCCCUGGGCUCAACCGAGGAAGUGCAUUCGAAACUAACUGGCUAGAAGAUGGUAGAGGAAGGUGGAAUUCCAAGUGUAGAGGUGAAAUUCGUAGAUAUUUGGAGGAAUACCGGUGGCGAAGGCGGCCUUCUGGACCAUUCUUGACGCUGAGACGCGAAAGCGUGGGUAGCAAACAGG